AGAGCACUAGGGGUAACCAGGCCAAUUGGAUAAAUUUAAGGAUCAGAGAAAAAUAUAGAAGUGACCGAUAAUAAAGACGGAUGCUUCAGACACAGGUCUUGGUGCCAUGCUGAGCCAGAGAGUCGAUGGAGUGGAACAUCCUGAGCCGGAAACUGUUGGACCAGGAGACCAGCACGUGGGUUGGUGCACAAGACACACUGACAGCAUUGCCGACUGCCAGUCCUGGAAGAAAGUGUUUCAAGGUGCCAAACUUAAAGCAAGGUGCCAGGUACUCGGUUCAGCUGCAGGUUGAAGACUCGGCCUUCCACAGUCCGCCCCAUGACCUCCCACAGUUUGUAAAAAAAGAAAGAGAAAAAGAAGAAGAGCAGCUGUAAAGUUUUACCAAUUCGAAAAAGAAAAGGAACUGAACAUGUUUUCCAACACGGAACAAUGGCACAACAGAAUCAGGUAUGGACUCACAGAAUAAAAAGCUCAGUAUAUUUAAAGAAACUUUAGAGCUAUUAAACAAAAUGAUUAUAUAUAGUAGGGAGUCUCUGAACCGCACAGUGAAAAAAAUGAUGGGAUAACCCUUAUCGCGUACAUGCGAGAUGUUUUCAUGUACAUACGGGAUACUUUUACAUACGUACGAGAUAAAGUUAUAUUAAAAAAUUACACCUAAUUACUCCUUUACCAAAGCUAUGGUGCUUCAGUUUGACAUCACUUCUAUCUCUUGUAGCAUGGUGAUAUAAAAAUCAGACGGGAGGGAUUUUAUUUAAUAAUGAAGUGUGGGAUGAUUGGAGAUGGGUCUAAUUGCAGCCUGUAAUAUUGCAAUAAUGCACACAACGUUAAUCACAUAAAGGCCUAUCGCAUGCCUCGUUACACAAUGGUUAAGAUUAGGGUUAUGGAAGGGUUAUCUGGCUCAAAGGGCUUAGGUACGUGCUUUAUGUUUAUAUGUCUGCACACUUGUACAAAGUUCCUGAGGAGAUAUGAUUGUUUGCAUGUUCAGUUUGCCCAUUCCAAUGUGGGUACACUAAUAUAAUUCUCUGGUAAACCUGGCACACUCUAUCGCUUAUCUAGAUAAUAAAAACGGAAAACCCAAUUUAGCUCUCUUCUGUGCCCUUUAAUUAUUUCAGAUCAUUUUGUACAGUACAACGGAUGACCAAGUGUGCCAGUUUUGCCAGUGGAUUUGACUAGGAUAUUCAAGUUUGCCUUUUUAAACAUGGGUACAUUUCAGGUCUGAAAAUGGUGGGAAUUAAAGUGACCUGAUUUGAAUUUAACUCCUUAGAUGCACGUUAAAUCCCAUAGUCCUUCAGUGUAGAUAAGUGAUAGUGUGUCAGGUUUACCAGAAAAUUAACACUAGAACCCCUGAAGACUACGAAAAAACUCAUAAUCCCAGACCACCUUAAAUUCCUUCUCACCUCCUCAUCAGUGUCUUUUGUUUUGCAAAUGUAUUGAUCAGCACAAGCAGCCUGCUAUUCCAAAACCCCUCCCCUUCUGACGGAGCUGAAGUUCUCCCAGCUCAAGUGUGUUUAUCUGUGUGUAAGGUGUCUGGAGUUGUAUAGGGUGUGACGUGUGAGUCACUGUCUCACACCCCAAAAACAGGAGGCUGAGUCGCAAUCUUCAGAAUGAUCAGGUUUAUUAACAACCUCAAACAGGAACAGCAAGCAUUUUUAUUGAGGUGGGAGUUACCUCUUUAUAACACACAAACACAGCAAGCAAGCUGUGUCUUCAUUAGUCAUUCCACCUCAGCUCCCUCCAUCAGUCCAGGUACUGAUAAUCCUCUUCCUCAGGUUGAUCCCAUGGCUGCGGAUCUGGGAUUGGAAUCGGAUUGUCCUGAAGGUGAGGGGACAAAGAGAAAGUGGGCCAGGUAAUUGCCCGAAUUACAAUACUGUCCCUGUGUCGGUGAUCAGUCCCUGGCCGACGUACGCUACAGCUGUGAGCGAACUUGUUGUGUGCUGAUGAGUUUUCUAUGGCCAACGGAUGCUCUACUGUGUGACGGGGCCACGAAUGCGCUGUUGAAGCAGGACGUGUAGUGUGGCGGGGCUGCAUACAUGUCACAUCCCCUCCCCCAGCUUCGGACACAGCAGGCUGCCUGAUUGGGUUCGACUAGGCGGGAGAGGACGCCUGCAUUCACAUGUGCAGAGCCAGGCUGGUGGUGCACAUCAAAGUUGAAAGGCUGUAAACUAAGAGACCACAGAGUGAGGUGGCCAUUUGUGUCCUUCUGUCAAUAAAGCUACUGAAGCAGGGCUUGAUCAGUUACGAGAGUGAACUGUCGACCCCAGAGGUAGUAGAGGAAGCCCUCUACAGCCUACUUAAUUGCCAAGCACUCUUUUUCAAUAGUCGAAUAAUUAUACUCCCUGGGUAACAGCUUCCUGCUGAGAAACAUGAGGGGGUGCUCUUCCUCCACAAGCACCUCCCCCACCUUGUCCAUCUGUGGUCUAAUUAGGCCAUUCUCCAUUGAGUAACCCAGAUAAUUAGCCUCUGACAUGCCCAGUCUGUACUUCUUCAGGUUGGCUGUCAGACCCGCAAUGUGUAAACUAUCAAGGACAGCCCAUAAGCGAUCGAGAUGAGACUUCCAAUCGCUAUUGAAAAUGACCACAUCAUCAAGAUACCCGCUGAAUGGGGACGCAAAAUUUGGUCCAUCAUUUGCUGAAAGGUCAGCGGUGCCCCAUGGAGACUGAAGGGGAGUCUGGUAAAUUCAAAAAGCCUGUCUGGGGUGGUGAAGGCAGUUUUCUUGUGACUGGAUUCCUCCAAGGGCACCUGCCAGUAGCCCUUUGUGAGGUCCAGAGUGGAAAUAUACAAGGCCUGUCUGAGUUUCAUCUUCGAGACAAAUCCUGCCGACUACAACAAUUUGUCACGAAAUAAUCACACAAAUAUAAUCAUAAAGUUUUGGGGAAUGUUCCCUGUAUAAUCAUCUACCUUGGAGAAGUUGAAAAAAGGUUUGAAAGUGGGUCACCUGCAAAAAAUUACAGUUGACAAUCAGAAUAUGCAGAGACUGGUUUAUAUAGUGAAUGUACAGGAAAUAAUACAGACAAAAUGGCUGAUGGAUAUGACGUAAUGACUGGAAAAAGGAAGCAGAAGUGACAUCAUUGCAGAUGGAUGGAAGUGACGUCAUCGGAGAUGGAUGGACAUGACGCUAUCGGGAAUGGCCUGCCAUGAUGUCAUCGGAGAUGGACAGAAGUGGCCUCAUUGGGAAAUGGCAGGAAGUGAUAUCAUCAGGGUUGGAAGGAAGUGGCUUCAUCAGGAAAUGGCCGGAAGUGACGUCAUUGGUGGAGGAUGGAAACCAGGUAUGUGGUAUGUUUUUUUCUGAUUUUAGUGGGGAAUCACAAUUAAUCUUUGGUAGGUCUGCAGGAAGAGGAGAAAAGGCAUUAGUACUCAUUUCCAGCCCUCUGAUCUUUGUACUUUCACUGUCUCUUGGAGCCUUUGGCUGCCCCUAAUCAUGUGUGUGUGACAACAAAUAUUUUGCAGCCUUUUGAAUUAACACUAGAAUUACCAAAGCCUAUGAAAAAACGUGUAAUUCUGGCAUACCUUAAAUCCGUUCGCACCUCUCUGUCAGCAUCUUUUGUGUUGUAAAUGUGUCGAUCAACACAAGCAGCAAGUAGCCUGCUAUCCCAUCCCCCCACCAACGCAGAAAGUGCAGAAAGUUCUCUCAGCUCAAGUCUGUUUACCUGCAUGUGAGUUGCCAGGAGUUGUAUAGGGAAAGUAAUAUAUUGUUAUUUGGAAUACAUGCAUUUCAUGUGUGUUCUGUGUCUAUAACAAUCUAUGUAAACACAUUGUUAAAACAGAAACAUUUUCCAUGUUUAAGAAAUAAUUGACAAAAUGUAAGCAUGAAGUGUAUAACAUGUGAAGCCUGAAGUCCAAAUGUCAAAUAAACACUUUCUCAAAAUGUACAAGUAUAACAAAACAAGUGCGCUUUUAUUCAAGAAUAUAACUGCAGAAAAAGAACUCACGUUAGGGUGCGAAAUUGACAUGUCCUUAAUAUGGUGCAGUGCUAAGAACUGCUGACUGGUAAUCAAAAGGUUGCUGGUUUGAUCCCGGACACCUCUUUUUUGAGAAGUGAACUGCUGUUAUUCGUACUAUUAUAGAAUAAAAACAUACAUUUAAUUUGUGUCUGUAACAGCCUGUGUAAAUGUAUGGUACUUGUAAAGGUUAGCGUUUUUUUUUUUUAUUCAGUUUUAUUCUCUCAGUCGUGUUCAGGAUCCCCCUGAUCUGACACUGCUGUUUUCAAAUAAAGAUGUACUAUGGCAGAGGUGAACUCAGAUGAGGAUGAGAACAGAAGCCCUUCCCGCAAGAAACAUCCACUCACAUAUAAGAACAAUCCAGCUGCACCAACAGUCCCACACCUCUCCUUCAACAGCAUGGCUUACAGAGCUUGCCAAGGUAUUGUGCAAAGUCCUGUUUGUGAUUAGGUUUUGUGAUGGUCUUUAUAUGAAAACCAUGCUUAUGUUACUUAUAUAAAAGACAGAUUGAAUGUUAUUUACCCUGAUUUAUUUACUUAUUUUCCUACAGUGUAAAGUCACGAGUAAACUGCAGAGCUUCCUCUGUUUCAUUGACACGGGCAUGCUCACUAAGUACAUAUGUAGUGAAGUGACUUCAGCUGCAGAUGGAAGCUCCUGUCGCACCCUACACAAGGAGAAACCCCACAGGAGAAAGACUUUCCAAGACUAAAGCCAUAAAGCUUAUGAAACCAUUUCUGGACAAAGGCAGAACUGUAACAACAGUUGCAUAGUUUUAGGCACUUCCAUCAACCCUGUCAUAAAAUUCUCCUAAUUCAAUCCUAAAGACUCUUGCAAUAGACAUGAAAACAUAUCAAUAAAAUAAAACACUAAUAUUACAUUUGCUUUCUCUGAUUUACGAAUAAAAAUAUACAAAGUAUUUAUCAACUUAUAUACAAAAUUUCACACCACAGCACACGCUAACAUCUGGAUGUGCAUCUGUCAUGCCUAGUGUCAAAGCUGCUCAAUUGAAUGAUGAUGAAUGACUCCACCUUCUGUUUGCUCAUGGUAGAACACAGGAUUAUUCGCUUAUUCCAGAACUGCUGGUACUUAGUAUUGCUCUUAAACAAAGUUAUUAGAAUACACCGGUCUCCAAGGGUUGAAACUGCCAAAGCAUACCUCCAUGGUAUCUUGUAAAUUCUUUUCAUGCACAUCACCAUGGACUUUUUAGUGAGGAUGAUCAAGUACAAUUGUCAGUCAUCUGUCCAUUAAUGCCCAGGUGUUUCCCAGUGGAAAACUGAGUAUGAUGUAUUUGUAGUGAGCUAGUAAAAUAUAGUGAGACAUGGUAGCUGCUCUAUAGCUACAGUUAUCCUUAUCGCAUUCUAUCUUGUUUGUACAAUUUACUCUGCCUACUUAGUGAUGGAUUACAGGAGGCCACUGUCAAAUGCAGUAUUCCAUUUUCUUUAAUGAGCACUUACAAUUCAACACAUGUACAGUAAAUGCUGUGCCAUUCUCAAAGACCAUAACAUCUAGAAGUUCAUGUGUACUGAAGAAAAUGUUUAAGGUGUUGCUACCUUUAUUACAAGACAUAGACGCCACUAGCCACUUAUAAUGUCACCACAAUAAGGAAGACUUUUCAUAAAAUGAUCAAGAAGGUAUAAUGCAGCUCCAAGACUUAGCUAUAGAGGUGUAUUAAUACCAUUGGUGGUCCAUGUUUUAAAAAACUUUUCUGUGUACUUUAUUUGUUUAUUUUUUCUUGGACAUCACACAUAAAUUUGUGCAAAAGAUUUCCAUAGAUGAUUACUGGAUUACUAGGUGGGUAAUGGUCACAAGGUGCAAGGCAAAGGGUGCACACUAUCCAGGGGCAUCAACCCCAGAAUUAGAAGUGUCAAACUGUUUUCAGGACCUUUUGGAGCUAGAUGGUGUCUCUGACGAUUCUGAGGUGGUAGAGAGGCAUGAGGAUCCCCAACAGACCACAUCAAAAUCAGUCCCCAGAAAGAGAGAGGUGUUGGUAGUUGGGGACUCAAUCAUUAGCGGGAUUUACAGGUAAGUGCAAGUUUGCUCCAGAGACAGAGAAUCUUGCACGUUGUGUUGCCUUCCAGGGAGGAUAGGUGGGAGACUUCCCUGGAAGGGUAGAUAGCCUCUUGGCCAGAGCAGUGGUUGAUCUAGUUGUCAUUACACGUGUAGGGACAAAUGACAUACAUAAGAUUAGUUGAGAAUAAUUUAAACGAGGGAACUGGAGGAAAGAGAGUUUAGGAUAGGCCAGGUUUACAGUUGUACAUGAAGGGACAAACAACAGUGCAAAAAUGAAUUUGCAUAGCAACAUAAAUUGUAACCUAAAGUUUAAGUGCAAAAGUAAAAUAAGUAACACAUUAAAAAUAGAAUGAAUAUAGAGUGGAUAUGAAAAGUUUACACACCUCUGCCAAAAUUGCAGAUUUUGUGUAAUAAAAAAUGAAACCAAGGUAAAUCCUUUCAGAACUAAUUCUACCUUUAUUACAAAAUUGCAAUCUAUACAAAGAAGGUGAAUCAGAAACUGUUAAGUGAAAAAAUGAAAAACAAAAUCAUACAAAAACCUAGUUGCAUUAGUGUGCACACCCCCUAAACUAAUACUUGGUUGAAGCACCAUUUGCUUUUAUUACAGAACUCAGUCUUUCUAUGUUAGAGUCUAUCAGUUUGGCACAUCUGGACUUGGCAAUUUUUGCCCACUCCUUGCCAAACAUUUUCAGAUCUGUCAAAUUACAAGGGCAUCUCCUGUGCACAGCUCUCUUCAGGUCACCCCACAGAUUCUCAUUUGGAUUAAGGUCUGGGCUGUGGCUGGCCCAUUGCAGAACAUUGAUCCUCGUUUGAUGAAGCCAUUGCUUUGUUGAUUUUUAUGUACAGGUGUGCUUUGUGUUGUUGUCAUGCUGAAAGAUGAUUUUCCUCUUUAUCUUCAGCUUCCUAGCAGAUGCUUGAAGGUUUCACAUCAAAAUUGACUGAUACUUGGAGCUAUUCAUGAUUCCAUCUACCAUGACGAAAGCCUCAGUUCCAGCUGAAGGAAAGCAGCCCCAAAGCAUAAUGCUGUCUCCACCAUGCUUCACUGUGGGUAUGGUGUUCUUUUGAUGAAGUGGCAUGUAGUUUUUGCACCAAACAUACCUUUUGGAAUUAUGGCCAAAUAGUUCAAUCUUGAUCUUAUUAAACCAUAAUACAUUUUUCCUCAUGGUUAUGGGAGAUUAGGUAUACCUUUUUUCAAGGUUUAGCCAGGCUUGGAUGUUUUUCUUUGUGAGAAUGGGCUUUUGUCUUGCUACACUACCCCACAGCCCAGACAUAUGAAGAAUACAACUGAUUGUUGUUACAUAUAGGGAAAAAACAGUACUUGCCAUAGAAUCCUGCAGCUCCUUUAAAGUUGCUGUAGGUGUCUUGGUGGCCUCCUUGACCAGUUUUCUCCUUGUCUUCUUAUCAAUCUUGAAGGGACGUCCUGAUCUUGGUAGAGUCACUGCUGAGCCAUAUUUUUCCACUUGUUGAUGACUGUCUUCACCAUGCUCCAUGGGAUGUUUAAUGAUUUGGGAACGUUUUGCACCUCGUCUUUAUUAAUACUUUUCAAAGAUGAGAUGCUGUUCGUGUUUUAAAAGAUCUUUGAGGACCAUGGCUUUUGGAAUUUUGUGCAACCAACAAGACAUCAGAAUAAUCCUACGGGAACAGCCAAACUUUAUCUGAGCUUAGUCAGAGUUACUUUAAUUGACAUCAGGUGUAUACUAAUUGUUUUUUGAGAUAAGACUUAUUGCAAUUGGUUGAUUGUGAAUGCAACCACAUCCUUGAUUAUUAAAGUUGUACAUUAGUAGAGUUGAUUGAGACUGUUAGUUUAAAAUGUUAAUUUAAAACAAAAUUUUUUUUCUUUUAAAUAAUGACUUAUUAUUGUAGUGUAUCCUUUUAGACAACUAAGGACUGUUUUAGUCACAACAAUGUUCAGCUAUCAGAAUUUUGCUGCUGCAUCUUUCAAUACCAUCAACUAUGACUUUUAUCAUUUCUGGUGUAUUAUUUUAUGUUUCCUCGUAGUUUAAAAUAAUAUUACUUGAAAGUCUUUUUUCUUUGUAGAUAAUAUCACAGUUUUUGAGAAGGAGUGUUUGCAUCCCAUAAUAAAGCUGCUUUGUUUUAAUCAUCUCUACUAGGUUUGCCAGGGUUUUACAUCCUCUGCUUUAUAUAAAAAGUGCUGCAACUGUGGCCUAAUUGCACAGGUAUCUCAGAAACAUAAAGUCAAUGUACACUAGAUUUAUGACAGGAACCUUUACAGCACACAUUCACUUUUGGGCCAGUAUAAAGCAAUAUACUGGGAUGCAUUUAAACAGCUGGAGACAACUGUACAACCACUAUGUUAUUUAGUAAAAUUAGUUAUGAACUUCUGAUUGCUAACACCAGAACUGAACUUAAUAGCCUUAAUCCAAAGAUGGUUUCUCAUUUUUUUGAGAGGGCGGCACCCUUAACAGACCUCACAAAGAAGUGGGCCCCUGACACUGUGCUAUGGAAUGCUAAAACAGACUUCAAAUUCUGUGACCUAAAACAGGUUCUUAUGUCAGCACCUGUAUUGAUGACUCUUGACUUUUCUCUGCCAUUUAUCUUACAGAUUUACACUUUGGACAUUGGUCAAGGCUGCCUUGCAGUUAGGAGACCUGGGUUCACUUCCCGGGUCCUCCCUGCAUGGAGUUUGCAUGUUCUCCCUGUGUCUGCGUGGGUUUCCUCCGGGUACUCUGGUUUCCCCCCACAGUCCAAAGACAUGCAGAUUAGGUGCAUUGGCGAUUCUAAAUUGUCCCUAGUGUGUGCUUGGUGUGUGUGUGUGUGAGCGCCCUAUAGUGGGCUGGCACUCUGCCCAGGGUUUGUUUCCUGCCUUGCGUCCUGUGUUGGCUGGGAUUGGCUCCAGCAGGCCCCCGUGACCCUGUAGAUAGGAUAUAUAGCAGGUUGGAUAAUGGAUAGAUGGACAUUGGUCCAGGUGCCAUCCUGAGCUAAACCGUCAACAUUGUUAAACCUCCCCAUGUUCCUGAGCUAGAAACUACUUGACCAGCAGACCAGGUAUGCAAUGGUGGAAAGAAAAGCCUUGGGCUAUACACCAAUUAAAGUACUACAUCCAGGAAUGUGAAUUUAUUUUUAUAGUCCUCUCCAUGCCAGCAUCAAUGCUUUUUCUCUUUUUCAUUCAGACCCAAUGGGUCUGGGCUGAGAGGGGAGGUUUGUCAUUGGCUUGGCUCUAGUGACUGUAAUUUUACUGCUGUUCCAGGAGUUGGUGCUGUGUCCUAAUGCUUUUUUUUUUCUUUCCAACUCUGCGGACUGGAUGAUUGAUGGCUAUAACACCUCUGAUGUCACUCCUGAUAUCCAUUCACCUGGACACACCUGUUCCUUCUGGAAGGACCCAAAACCAGAAAUUCCACCAAAUUUGUCAGUUCUGUUGUGAACUUGCAUUUUCAAAGUCUUCACCACAAUUAUUGCAUGCAUUUUCCUUGUUUUUUUCACACAAGAAAGAAAGAAAGAAAGAAAGAAAGAAAGAAAGAAAGAAAGAAAGAAAGAAAGAAAGAAAGAAAGAAAGAAAGAAAGAAAGAAAGAAUUGUAAUUGUAAUUGUGUUUUUGACAAAAAGCCUGUAUUGAAGGUAUUUGUUAAAAUAAACAUUUCAUUUGAACUGGGGACUUGUGUUUGUAAGGUUGUUUGUAAGGGGUUUGGGCCUUUGUAUACACACAAAUACGCAGAAGAUUAUGGAAAAUAUAAAGAACAUUCAACAUUUUAUUUUAAUGUUAUCCAUCAUACUGACAAAAGUAAAGAGUUUAAAUAGAUAGUUUUCUUUUCUUGUAAUAAUAAUUUCCAGGUAUUUGAACUGUUUUGAUUGAGUGAAUCAAUGAGAAAUGAUCUAGUUUGGUCUAGUAUGCAAAAAAAAAAAAAAUCACUAGAAAUGCACACUCUUGAUGAGAUAGAUAGAUAGAUAGAUAGAUAGAUAGAGUAGAUAGAUAGAUAGAUAGAUAGGAUAGAUAGAUAGAAGAUAGAUAGAUAGAUAGAUAGAUAAAAUCUCUGGAUUUAAAUUAUCUGUUAAAUUCCCUGAGCAAAAUUAAUACAAAUGGCUAAGAUAAUAAUUGGUCUGCAGUCUAAAGAUACAUCCAAGGAUUGCUAGAAAACAUCAUCAGUGAUGUUUUCUGAGUUCAUUGGGUGUUUCGGGUCUCGAACAUCAGACACCCUUGCUCAAGUGACCCAGCCAGGGUUAAUCAGGCCCUGGCUUGUGUCCCAGCAGCAAUAGCCCAUGACUCAGACCUACUGAUCUAAAGCCAUCUAGAGGCCCUCUCUGUUGCCUCUAUGGCAGACUUUAUGGCUAUGCAGCUCCUCUUAUGCCAAGCAAUAUGUAGACCUUGCAUGAAGUGCGGCCAACAAAGCCUCUAAACCCAACUCAAAGAAGUUGUUGUAACAUGGUCUGGGAACUUGAGCUAUCUGCCCAGGUCUACUCGUAAUUCCCAGUCCAACGCUGAGGUGAGCAGGCUGGCUGCUACUAAAGGCUGUGGCUGAAACUGCUCUCCUGUCCUGACAAAGGUGAUGCCCCUUUGGCUGGAAAUGAUUCUAUUAUUAGCCAUAGCGCUAGAGAUGCCCUCUGCCACUGACUUGAGCACCUGGUCGUGUCACCAGUACUAGCGGCCCUCACUGAGGGCUACUAUGCAGCUACUGAGGAUGUGCUCCAGUGAACCCUUUGUAGUACAGAGAGGACAUACUGGAGACUCAGUCUUGCCCCAGGUAUGUAGAUUUACUGGGCUGGGUAGAAUAUCAUACACGGCUUGAACCAUGAACUUGAUAUGCUGGGUUUCAUCUUGCUAGAUUUCGCCCCAAGAUAAUUUCCUCUCCAGCACUCCCUCCCACCUUGUCCAUGUUCCCUGCUGCCGCAUGCCCAUCAUCCUGCUGGUUUGCUCCUCCACACCUGCACACACUUUCCCAGGACUAGAAGGAAUUUGUCCUUGCCAUGGGUCUUGUCGUACAGAGGCUACAGUCAAAGACCUUGCCUAGGCUUCUGACUGGUUUCUCUGUAAUGGCAAUGAUGUCCACAAAAAAAUGAAACUUGUCCACCACCAUGGCCCUGUAUUUUGCUGGUUUGAAGCUUAUUCUUGCCCAGGAUAUGAGCUUUUUCAGGUCCUAGAGGAUCCACCUGCCACCAGGCACUUACAGUGCAUCCGGAAAGUAUUCACAGCGCAUCAC